GGGGCUGAUUCUGGAUUCGACGGGAUUUGCGAAACCCAAGGUGCAUGCCGAGGGGCGGUUGGCCUCGUAAAAAGCCGCAAAAAAUAGUCGCAAACGACGAAAACUACGCUUUAGCAGCUUAAUAACCUGCUUAGAGCCCUCUCUCCCUAGCCUCCGCUCUUAGGACGGGGAUCAAGAGAGGUCAAACCCAAAAGAGAUCGCGUGGAAGCCUUGCCUGGGGUUGAAACGUUAAAACUUAAUCAGGCUAGUUUGUUAGUGGCGUGUCCGUCCGCAGCUGGCAAGCGAAUGUAAAGACUGACUAAGCAUGUAGUACCGAGGAUGUAGGAAUUUCGGACGCGGGUUCAACUCCCGCCAGCUCCACCA
rnacentral:tmRNA from 1 species